UUGGAUGAACCUAGGUGGGAUUAGCUAGUUGGUGAGGUAAUGGCUCACCAAGGCGUACGAUCCCUAGCUGUUCUGAGAGGAUGAUCAGCCACACUGGGACUGAGACACGGCCCAGACUCCUACGGGAGGCAGCAGUGGGGAAUAUUGCACAAUGGGGGGAAACCCUGAUGCAAGCCAUGCCGCGUGUGUGAAGAAGGCCUUCGGGUUGUAAAGCACUUUCAGUAGGGAGGAAAGGUAAUAGUUUAAUAAACUAUUACUGUUGACGUUACCUACAGAAGAAGGACCGGCUAACUCCGUGCCAGCAGCCGCGGUAA
rnacentral:rRNA from 1 species